UACGGGGGGGGCAAGCGUUGUUCGGAAUUACUGGGCGUAAAGGGCUCGUAGGCGGCCAACUAAGUCAGACGUGAAAUCCCUCGGCUUAACCGGGGAACUGCAUCUGAUACUGGAUGGCUUGAGUUCGGGAGAGGGAUGCGGAAUUCCAGGUGUAGCGGUGAAAUGCGUAGAUAUCGGGAGGAACACCUGUGGCGAAAGCGGCUCACUGGACCACAACUGACGCUGAGGCGCGAAAGCUAGGGGAGCAAACAGG
rnacentral:rRNA from 1 species